AGAGUAAAUUGAACAGUCGCGUGUAGAUGCCGCAAGGCCCUAUAUGAGGAAAGUCCGGGCUCCAUAGAGCAAUAAUGCUGGAUAACGUCCAGUGAGGGUGACCUUAAGGAAAGUGCAACAGAAAAUAACCGCCGUUUUAAACGGCAAGGGUGAAAAGGUGAGGUAAGAGCUUACCGCAAAUAUGGUGACAUAUUUGGUCAAUGCAAACCCCAUUUGGAGCAACACCUAAAUACAAGAAGGUUAAGACUGCUCGUCGUCUUCUUAAAUUGGUGGCUUGAAAUAUAUAGUAAUAUAUAUUCUAGAUAAAUGACUGUUUUUAACAGAACCCGGCUUAUAGAUUUACUCUAAAA
rfam:Clostridium sp. CAG:452 genomic scaffold, scf28